CACUCUAGCUCCUCACAGCACACUCUAGUGUCCCACACUCUCUGUGUGUCUUCGAGUCUGCAUCAUCCUAGCACUCCCACCCAGUGCAGCCUCGGGGCUCCACACAGACCCUCACCCAACCCAACACACCAAUCUGUAGGGUAUUUAACAUGCUAGCACAGCUCAUGCUCAUGCGGAACCAGCUACACGGCAGACCUGGGGCUCUUCUCUCCUACUAGACUCCCUCACCUCUCAGGACUCUCUGGAGAUCAAGAGCAUACAAGGACCGUGGAAAAGGGGGAGGCGUCUUCGGGGCUGUCUGAAAGAAACCAGCCUUCCAGAUAGGGCACAGCCCAACAAAGGUAAGGUGAUCAGAGAACAUUGGGUUUCGGGUUAAGGUAGGCACCUAAGGUCUCAGAACAUAUGAGCACCUGAAGUGCCCUCAGUCCUUCCACGGCUGCUCAGUAACUGUAGCCCACGCUGAGCACUUGGAGCUGUGACCUGAGGAUCCUAGCCUGCAGCCUUUGUGUGGUACUAACAGGACAGCAUCCUGAGUAUCUACUGGGCCCUUACCAAGUCUGGAGACUCAGAAUAUAGAACAAAGACACCACGACCACCACUGUCAGCUACUCAGGGCCUUUGCUGAAGCCACCCCAUUCCAAAGCCAUCCAAGGGCCUUCCUGGGCUCCCACCUCUGAGAUCAUCAUAUCCUGGUAACCAUGAAACCCCAGAAAGAAACCAACAGGCAGAGGGCUUAGAAGCCCCUCCAGGGACCAGAGUGGGCAGCUUCUGAGUGCCGUAGGGCAUGCUGGGGCAAUUCCAGGCCUCUCCUCUAGUGUGACUGCCAGCCUCAGUCUGUACUGAGUGUAGAGAUGCAUCCCAUACUGGAAAAAUGCAGGACUCCAGCUUGUGUGCCAGCUGGGCCCCACCGGAGCUCUCAUUGUAGCGCACACCAGCUCCUCCGCCACAGGUUUCAGUGGCCCCUGAUGGGUAUUCAUUCCAGGUCUGCAAGACAACAGGAGACCGGCCGUUAGUCUGUAAGGGACUUCAGCAAACUGAAAGCGGGACUCAGCUAACUCGGGAUACAAGUGGCUGGGAAGCAGGAACUGGCUGCAGACAAGCUUGGACUCCAGUACUGAUUAUGGCAGCUGUCAACAGAAUUCCUUGGCAAACUCCCUAGGUCUCAUCAUUCCAGAUACCAGAGCUGGAGCAGUGAUAUGCAUGGCAAGAGGCCCUCCUGCUUCAACCUGGACCUCCCUAUGGUUUAACAGAAAAAAAAAAUACCUUUUAGCUUUCUGAACUCCUUCAUAAACAGAGAUAGAAAAAAAAAAACCCCAAACAGGUUUUUAUUUGAAGAGUAUCUGCUGGGAAGUGAUCAAGAAUAAAGGAAAACAGAACCAAAGAACCAUAAGGGGAAAAGAAAAAGUCGUCAUCAAAAGGUCUUGUCCUUCUCCAAAACCGCUGCAUCCUAAAAAAAAAAAAAGAACAGGGUACCUUGAAAAGGAAGAGGCACUGAGGGGCUCACAGUGACCUCCAGCGAUGAAAAAGUAUGACCAGUGAGAUUCAAACUUGUCAAAAAAAAAUCCUCAUGUGUUACAUAAUCCUUUGGUCAAUUAUAGGCAAUAUGUGCUCCCAUAAGAAUCAUAAGAAUGCAUAAUAGGACGGAGGGGCAGGAGAAGGGGAGCUGUGAUGGGGUGUAAAGUAAGUGACUUAAUUUUAAAACAUCAGUAUUCCUCAGACAGACAGACAAUAUUUAAUACCAAGGAUGGAAGAAUAAUUCAGCGGUAGAUGCCUGCUUAUCAUGUGCAAAGCCCUGGGUGUCAUGCUCAUCACUGCUAAGAAAAUGUCACAUCAACUACUUAUGCUGUUGGCAUCAUGAUAUAACAUAUCCCUCACCGUUGUGCUGGGAGGGCAAGAGUACACCACUGCAUGGUCAGUGGAAGACAGUGCGGAGCACGCAUACAGAGCCCAGUACUGCAACAUGGCAAUAAAUGCCUGUGCUGACUGCUACCGCACUUAUGAUAGGACACUUUCAUUUAGUUUAGUGUGUUCUUUGUGUUUGUGUUUUUAAAGGGCUUUACUGUAGAAUGAAUGCAGCUGGGGUAAGCUGUA
rnacentral:lncRNA from 1 species